rnacentral:lncRNA from 1 species
CUUGAAGUUGUUUAUUUUGAUUCAUCAUGCAAUUUUCUAACAAAAUUUCCAAACUUGAUUUCUGAGCCACUCUCUGGUUGUUUGUAUAGUCUGGUGGUGCUACUUGUCCAUAGGAACCUUGAGGAUUUUUAUAAAAAUUUUGGUUGGGUCUAGUUCCUUGGUUGUAUUGAGCGUAGUUCAUUUGUUCAAUACCAUUGGCAGCACUACCUAACUGACAAUCAACACCUAUAUGACCAAAUACACCACAAAUUUCACAAGGAGGAG